GAGUUCACUCUCACCACUGCGACCACCAGGAAUCCAUGGGGGUUACAGUGUUGAGAGUGAACUCUAGCCCGUAGCUCCAGGGCUAGAGUUGACUCUCGCAAGAGCAGUAACGUUGCCAUGGUAACCGCGGCAACGCUCUGUGCUCGCACAAGAAGGACCCAGAGGAGCUGCAGGAUGAGCUCCCAGGUCCUCUCUUCCUCCCCUGCCCGCACGGUGCCUGCGGACAGGGGAGGGGGGGCAUUCUUCCCUCUCUUUCUCCCCCCUCCCCCAACUCUCUAUUCCCCCUCUUUCUCCCCGUGUCUCAUUCUUCCCUCUCUGUCUCUUUCUCCCCCUCCCCAUCUCUCUAUUCCCCCUCUUUCUCCCCGUGUCUCAUUCUUCCCUCUCUGUCUCCCC